rnacentral:rRNA from 1 species
UACGUAGGGUGCAAGCGUUGUCCGGAAUUAUUGGGCGUAAAGAGCUCGUAGGCGGUUUGUCGCGUCUGCUGUGAAAUCCCGAGGCUCAACCUCGGGCCUGCAGUGGGUACGGGCAGACUAGAGUGCGGUAGGGGAGAUUGGAAUUCCUGGUGUAGCGGUGGAAUGCGCAGAUAUCAGGAGGAACACCGGUGGCGAAGGCGGGUCUCUGGGCCGAUAUUGACGCUGAGGAGCGAAAGCGUGGGGAGCGAACAGG